GCGGGGGUGCCCGAGCCAGGUCAAAGGGGCAGGGUUCAGGUCCCUGUGGCGUAGGCCUGCGUGGGUUCAAUCCCACCCCCGCACCA
rnacentral:tRNA from 1 species